ensembl:lncRNA
UGAAGGCUGAGGGCUGAAGGCUGAGGGCUGAAGGCUGAGGGCUGAGGGCUGAGGGCUGAGGGCUGAGGGCUGAGGGCUGAGGGCUGAAGGCUGAGGGCUGAGGGCUGAGGGCUGAGGGCUGAAGGCUGAGGGCUGAGGGCUGAGGGCUGGGGGCUGGGGGCUGAAGGCUGAGGGCAGAGGGCUGAGGGUUGAAAGCUGAGGGCUGAGGUCUGAGGGCCAAGGGUUGAAGGCUGAGGGCUGAGGGCUGAAGGCUGAGGGCUGAGGUCUGAGGGCUGAGGUCUGAGGUCUGAGGUCUGAGGGCUGAGGGCUAAAGGCUGAGGGCUGAGGGCUGAGGGCUAAGGGCAGAGGGCAGAGGGCAGAGGGUUGAAGGCUGAGGGCUGAGGGCUGAGGGCUGAGGGCUGAGGGCUGAGGGCUGAGGGUUGAAGGCUGAGGGUUGAAGGCUGAGGGCUGAAGGCUGAGGGUUGAAGGCUGAGGGUUGAAGGCUGUGGGCUGAGGGCUGAGGGCUGAGGGCUGAGGGCUGAGGGCUGAGGGCAGAGGGUUGAAGGCUGAGGGCUAAGGGCAGAGGGCAGAGGGCAGAGGGCUGAGGGCAGAGGGUUGAAGGCUGAGGGUUGAAGGCUGUGGGCUGAGGGCUGAGGGCUGAGGGCUGAGGGCAGAGGGCAGAGGGCUGAGGGUUGAAGGCUGAGGGUUGAAGGCUGAGGGUUGAAGGCUGAGGGUUGAAGGCUGUGGGCUGAGGGCUGAGGGCUGAGGGCUAAACCGCAGCUCUUCCUGUUACCGUAUGUUUGUUCCUCCUCUAGGCUCACCG